rnacentral:piRNA from 1 species
UAGCUGAGUAGUACUCCAUUGUGUAAAUG